AGUAAAUAGAUACCCAGGUAGUCCACGCCGUAAACGAUGAGUACUAGGUGUAGGAGGUAUCGACUCCUUCUGUGCCGCAGUUAAACACAAUAAGUACUCCGCCUGGGAAGUACGGUCGCAAGAUUAAAACUCAAAGGAAUUGACGGGGGCCCGCACAAGCAGCGGAGCAUGUGGUUUAAUUCGAAGCAACGCGAAGAACCUUACCUAGACUUGACAUCCCCUGAAUAACGUAGAGAUACGCGAAGCCCUUCGGGGCAGGGAGACAGGUGGUGCAUGGUUGUCGUCAGCUCGUGUCGUGAGAUGUUGGGUUAAGUCCCGCAACGAGCGCAACCCUUAUCAUUAGUUGCUACCAUUUAGUUGAGCACUCUAGUGAGACUGCCCGGGUUAACCGGGAGGAAGGCGGGGAUGACGUCAAAUCAUCAUGCCCCUUAUGUCUAGGGCUACACACGUGCUACAAUGGUGAGAACAACGAGAUGCAAUACCGCGAGGUGGAGCAAAACCUUCAAAACUCAUCUCAGUUCGGAUUGUAGGCUGAAACUC
rnacentral:rRNA from 1 species